AAGCAGCGCUAGAUGAGAGUUUAAACAAUCAUUCUAUUGAUAUGGAGAUCAAACCUCUUUAAUAUCACAUUGAAAUUACAGACAGCCAUCGAGCAACGCUUACCAUAAUCGCAACCUCACUUACAGAAACAUUUCUAACAGUGAUUGGCUAAACUCGUUCUUUUUCAUCAUUGUAAGCUCGUCGUUUUGUCACAAAAUGAAGACAGACUUUGUGCAGAACUUCAACGUUCGAUGAUUCAAACGGCACAUGUUGAAGAAAUGAGAGUCGUAUAAGGUUUCGGAUACCGAAAAGUAGCUUUCCAUAUGUCAAACCGUCACUUUGUAGCCAAAAAUUGCGAUUUACCAAAUUCAAAUUAAAUAUUUUAAAAGCGUUUAGUAAACUCACUAUGUAGAUACUUUUGCACCGAUUGGCUGCAGUUGUGCUUCUAUUUGUUAAUAUGGGAUUUGAAUGCUCUCAAAGUUACAAUAUUUUGUUAAAGCAGGUCUUAUAUGUCUUCGGCGGAAUAUUUUGUUUGAUUUUCAAUGCAAUGUUGUUUGUGAUAA